rnacentral:rRNA from 1 species
AGGAACCUUACCCGGGCUCGAACGGCAGCUGAAUAUUCCAGAGAUGGGAUAGUCUUCGGACAGUUGUCGAGGUGCUGCAUGGUUGUCGUCAGCUCGUGCUGUGAAGUGUCGGUUUAAGUGCCAUAACGAGCGCAACCCUUGCCUUCAGUUGCCAUCAGGGUGAGCUGGGGACUCUGGAGGGACUGCCACCGCAAGGUGCGAGGAAGGGGGGGAUGACGUCAAAUCAGCACGGCCCUUACGUCCGGGGCGACACACGUGUUACAAUGGCAGGUACAGAGGGGUGCUACCGGGUGACCGGAUGCCGAUCUCGAAAACCUGUCCCAGUUCGGACUGGAGUCUGCAACCCGACUCCACGAAGUUGGAUUCGCUAGUAAUCGCGCAUCAGCCAUGGCGCGGUGAAUACGUUCCCGGGCCUUGUACACACCGCCCGUCAAGCCAUGGGAGCCGGGGGCGCCUGAAGUCCGGGACCGCGAGGACCGGCCUAGGGCGAAACUGGUGACUGGGGCUAAGUCGUAACAAGGUAACCGU